rnacentral:lncRNA from 1 species
GGAAGGAGGAGAAUUAGCACGCCCUCUCCCAGGGCCCACGCCAGGGGUAACCUGGACCUGAGCUUCCCACCUUCAGCUGACCUAGACCAAGAGCAGGCUGGGCCUGGCCAGUGACUGCUUGUGGUUAUUGAAAGUUUUCCUUUUCUGUCUUAACCCAGGAAAAGUGAUUUCUAUGCUUUUGAAGACCAGCGAAAAGUGGAUGCCACAGAUGCCAUCCACAUGUGGCGGGUCCAGCCUGGGGUUUUUUUUUAUCUACCCCAGCCACCUGAACGAGGGCAGCAUCAGGACAGUGGCGAGGCUCAUAAGGGGACACGCACAGCAACAAAUUAUCAGCUGACAAUGGGAGUGUGCCUACUCGACAGCUUCUGGAACAUUUCCUCCAGUGACUCCAGAUGUACCCAUGGCUGUCUCCAAGGAGCCCGCACUGGGGGACAUGAGAGGCGCCAUCUUUCUUUUCUGAGGGGGCUGCCCCGCCCACUCCCCUGCGAGCUGUGGAGCAGACACCUUCUCCCCUCCUGGCCACACGGGAAGGCCACGGGGAGUGUCAGGGAUGCCGUGGACGUGUGUGUCAAGGCCGGAGCCACAACACGCUUGGUGAACCUUCUGCUGUAGCCAAGAUACCUGUUCCUCUCUUAAAGGAACACAUGGAGCAUCGCCGUCUGCUCACCGCUCACCUCCUCACUGGGUUUCCACCCCCGGCUUCUCUGCAGGCUGGAACCUCACAAGGGUCUGCAUCCGGGCCCUGGACUGGGCGCCUGCACAUUCAAGUCAUCGAAGCCCCCUUUCCUGAGGGCUGCUGGGUGACUUGGAGUCCCUGGGACCCUUCCAGGCUUUGUCUGGCUGCACCCAGAGCCCUCUUUGCUCCUUGCUGUCGGGUGCAGGCAGAGCCUGAGGGCCUGGCCAGAUGCCCCUCGGGGAUGGGACGUGGGUCAUGAGCCAAGUGUGAGCUCCUGGCUUGUCAUAGCCAGCUUGUGCCUUCUCACAGGCUGGGGACAGGCUGGAGGGGUUUGACUGAGACACGGGAGGGAGUGCAGUUCCUGGCUUUCUCUUCUGCCUCUCUGCUGGGUUCCCUUUGUGACCUUGGCCAUAGCCAGAACCUGCCCCGGCCUGUGCUGGGCAUUUUAUGUUGCUUAUGAGGGGAGGUCCACACCAGUCUGGUCCCUUGUUUUGCAGCCGAAGCUCACCAUGCCGUGAAGGCGUCAGGUCUGACUGUGGGGUGUGGCUUGUGCAAAGGACUCUGGGUAUUUGCCACCCCUGCCCUGGAGGCCUCCCUUACCCCCCUGCCCACUCCCACUCUGUCACCCAGGCCUCCAAGCUCUGAUAUUUUUCAGCAAGCACAGCUCACAGAGCACGUGGCGACCUGAGCCCAGAGGCCCCGGGGCUGACCAGCUCCAUAUCCCACAGGGAAAGGGGUGAAGAGGGAGCUACCCCUUGAUAACAGAGGUCCCUGCAGGCUGAGCACAGGGUCUCCUGGUCCUCGCUGUUGGCAGUACAGUGUCCCGUUUGUAAACCCUGAUGUCCGGGUGGUGCUGUUGGGAAAUGCUUGUGCCCUGGUCAGGCAGGGCUGGGGAGGGGUGGGCCCAGCACUGGAGGCGCCUGGCUGGAAAACCUCAGCUGCAGUGCAGGCACCAGGCGCGC